CCCAGGGGGUGAAAUAAACCGUUUUGAAAGUUUAAAGGACCAGAAAAACCGGUUUUGGAGGUGGUAGGAUUAAGUAGUCUAGGCAUUAAAGCUCAGAGGGUUAUCUAGACUUUUUCCGUGCUCCAUAUGAAGGACUUGGGGGUGGAGAUUAGAGUUGAGAUCUAGAGGAGUGGAGAAGCUUUGUGGCAUGAGAAAAAAGUGUGACCGGUUCACCAUUAGAGAUGUUCCUCGAGAAAUAUUUUCUUAGGGAUUGACCAGUCCAAAUUUUGAGACAAGUUUGCACAAAAUUUUAAGAAAUGUUCCCUUCAUAAGGAUGAUUCUCUCUAUCCAUGUCUCUCAACCCAAACGUUUGUCCUAUCUUAUCUCUCAACCAGAUACUAUAAAAAAAGAACCGCAUGAGAUGAUUAGACACUCCUUUUAAUCCCUUAUCCGCCCGGAAGCACAAAGAAAGAACCAUAUAAAACAAUAAAAGAAAAAGGAGAGCUACAAAUUCCAACCAUUAGCAUGAGGUAUGUACUGAUCAAUCUUUUGUCCUUAAGGUAUGUAUAGAAAAGACGGAAAACUAAUAACUUUAGGAAAUAUGAAAACCACACGCGAAGACAUGCUAGAUAAAAACAAUGAGGUUAGAAGGAAAACAGCUAGAUACCUUACUAGUUCCUCUUUCCCUGUCUUCACAACUAUGUUCAUUCCUCUUUCCAGCUAAACAAAUACAUAUCUUCCCCAUCUUAAAAUAAACACAUAUUCUUCACGAGAAGCCAAACCUUUUUAAUAAAGCAUAUAAUGCUAACAAAGAGGAGCCGAAAGAUAUAACAAGAAAACAAAAGAAAAAAGAAUAAAUGACCC
rnacentral:lncRNA from 1 species